AUAGGUCUUUCUUCCUUAUGGAGGAAGCCACAGCACCUUCCUACCGAAAUCCCUGCUGCUGGGUGUUGAGCUGGUAUUUGGUCAUCUCUGGCCACAGAAAACUGUUGGUCAGCUCUGCCUGCUGUCCAGUAACUCCACCGCUGCAAGCUGGCCUACCUCUAUUUCAGGAAUGAGAUGGGACCUGGGAAGAGAAUGGGGGUGGGGGUUCCCCUGGAGGGGGCCAUAGGCUAUCCUGCUUCGGGGAAAGAACUAACAAGACUCAGACAUCUUCUGAGGGUGCAACACAGAGAGACCCUCUCAGCCCUGGUCAGGAGGCCCCGCUCCUUUCCUGGGGACAGAUGCUCCCUUCUGCUUGCGUGGUGUCUGGUCACCACACACUUACCUAUGCUUACUCCGCCUCCUGGAAAUGUUGCAGGAAGGGGGACCCUUUCCAGGGCCUGAGAAUGGGCUCUUGGCGAACACACGAAAUGAAAUGUCCGAGGAGACACCCGUGCUGACACAACACAAGAGACUUGACUGGGAAGGGGCGCUGGUACCGGUGCGGGGGGAGCAGCAGGGUGAGGGAACCCAGGAGACCUGCUCUGCCGGGUGACUCACAGUCUCAGGUUUUAUGGGAAUGGGGACCGUUUCCGGGUGGUCUCUGGCCAGUCGUCCUGCUUGGUCCCUACUUGGUCUGGGUCUGGCUCAGUGUCCUUCUUGGCAGCACACGCACUUCUCAGCCAAGAUGGAUUCCAGCGCCAAGGAUCCUGGGAAGGUGGCUGUCUCCUCCCUCCUGUGGGCCCCUCCCCAACCCUCCAGUUAGUCUUCAGAGCAGCACCAGGCUCCCGGUCAGGACCUCCUGCUGUGAGACAAGUCAUGCAAGUGGCUAUUGCUGUGCUUGGCCAAGGUGGCCACUUCAGUCAGUGGUCCCCUCACAGAAACAGAGACACAACAGCAUUUACCUCACUUCAGAGCAUGGGGUCCCUUCCUGAAAGAUUGUCAGGGUGCAUGAUCCCCACCACGAGUUGUGCAGCCGUUAUCGGGCCGGGGUGUGAAGGGGUUAUUCACAGAAUCUUUCAUGCUAAAGAGGCAUUCAGUGAAACCACUGGUUUGGACUAAUUCAAGUUAAGGUCUAGGGAGCCUCAGGCGUCACACAUCUCCAGCCAAAUAGUCGUUGCUCUCCAUCCUGUCGAAUAAAUCAGAAUCACAGCUAACAAAAUCUUCCUUAGGAGAGGCAGGGCCGGGUCUGCUUUAGAAAGUACUUGGCGCUAUAAUGGAAAAAUAAAAAUCAUUAUUAAAAAAAUAAAAAGUAGAUGGGCCUCAUGUAUAAACAGCAUUGGACUAUAAAUGGUGUUGGAGUGCUUGGAAAUAAUUUGUUCUUUUAGUGGAUUACCAAUUUCCCCCUGCAAAAAAAGUGCUUCACAGAAUUUCCUAAGCACUCUCUUCCUUUGUAAGCAACAUGGGAUUCCAUAUGAGCCAGUCCUGAUAGGUCAAAACUCUGGAAGCUUUGCCCAAGCUACACCCAAGCCAUCAACCCUAGCAGUGAUCUGUGUUCUAGAGAGGUGGGGGCGAGUGGGGCUGGCUACAGGCUUUCUGGAGAGAUUUGAAAAUAACAGUACAUUAGGGAAAGAAAGAGUUGCAUCCAAAAUUUCAAAGUUAAGGAGAAGGCGUUUCUAGCCACGAGGCCUGGUGGGUAGAGAACACGGGCUAGCGGAGGGCGGGGAGGAGAGCCUGCAGAGCAUGGAGGUGAAAUAGGAGUUUAUAGAGAUUGUCUCUCUAUAAAAUUCCCAUCAUCCCCCAGGAGUCAAGAAAGCAUCCUUGGGGAGUUCCCGUCAUGGCGCAGUUGUUAAUGAAUCCGACUAGGAACCAUGAGGUUGCAGGCUCGAUCCCUGCCCUUGCUCAGUGGGUUAACGAUCUGGCGUUGCUGUGAGCUGUAGUGUAGGUCGCAGACGCGGCUCGGAUCUGCAUUGCUGUGGCUCUGGCGUAGGCUGGCGGCUACAGCUCCGAUUAGACCCCUAGCCUGGGAAUCUCCAUAUGCCACAGGAGCGGCCCAAGAAAUGGCAAAAAAAAAAAGAAAGCUUCCUUGGGCGUUCCCGUUGUAGCACAGCAGAAACAAACCUGACUAGUAACCAUGAGGUUACAGGUUUGAUCCCUGGCCUCGUUCAGUGGGUUAAGGAUCCAGCAUUGCUGUGAGCUAUGGUGUAGCCACAGCAAUGUGGGAUCCGAGCUGCAUCUGUGACCUACACCACAGCUCACGGCAACGCCAGAUCCUUAACCCACUGAGUGAGGCCAGGGAUCAAACCCGCAACCUCAUGGUUCCUAGUCAGAUUCGUUAACCACUGAGCCACGACGGGAACUCCGGUUUCUUCAUUCUUAACUGCCAGAGGCCAAGGGGCAAGUGCCUGGCAUCUGGGCUGGUUGGACAUGGGGCACUUCUCUGGGCUGGCAUUUAGAGUGGCACCACUGUUGUGCAAUUGUGGGCAUGCAGAGAGGCUCCUUCUGCCUUUGCACAGCUUCUCAGUCCCCCAGGACAGGGUUAUUGGUCUAUACCCAGCAUCCUUUCUCUAAACUUCUCCAACCUCAAUCUCUGGCUUGGAAGAAAGACGGGGCUAACUGGGGUGCUGGUGGAAGGUAGCCAUGUUCUGUUGCAGUAAAUCUUUCCUAGAAGCCCUGCCUGCUUUCCUAGAAGAGGAGACAGCUGAGCUCAUCAGCUUGGGCUGGACGGCCCAGAAAGAAUCCUUUCCAACCCCCAGAAGACCCCUCCACAGCUUGGGAAAGGAAAGGCUCACUGGUGUGCUUUGUGUGUGGACGUGGAACUGUCAGCCUGGGCAGGGGUGUCUGGUGACAGAGCAGAGCAGCUGAGGAGGAAGGACAGCCUUUUGGAGGUGGGACAGCAUGUUUGCCUAAGGGAAAUCUUGUGAUUCACCCAGCUCCCCACCCCCACUGUCUUUAGUGCUCCCGCUCCAGGACUUUUCAUAUGCAUUAGAGACUGCAAUUUCCUCUCCCAGAAACCCGUUCAAUUGUGAGUGAGUGUGCGCAUGCAUCAGUAUUCUUUCCCACCUAUUUUUAAUUUCUUUGCGCAUCUCACCCACCAUGUGCGUUCCCAUGACAGUCCCCUUGAACUCAUUCUCUCUCCAUGAGGUCUUCCUCUAGAGGCCUCUUCUGGAAGACUCAGGGCUUCAGGAGGUGGCAAGAGGGUCUCAGACUUUGCCUCGAAAUGAGAAGUUCUUCCUUCACAGUCUUAUCACCCAAAGGCUGCUGGACACGUGCGUGGGGCCUCGGGGAUGAAAAGGGGGCGAUGGUGUGGCCGGUGACUGCUCAUCUGCCCCACCCAGACCCAAGGUCCCCGGGCCCGCAGCCCCUGCCCCUCCCCCUCAGGGCACAUUUCCCCUCUGGCUUCUUCUGGGCUAAGGUGCCAGGGAUAUGAAACUGGAGGUGUCUCAGGCACACCCCCCACCCCCAUGCGGCAGCUUGAGUUUCUUGACGUUGAGCUGAACUGGGAACACAUGACCUAGAUUUUGCCCCAGAUUCUCAACUGGGAGUUUGCUCAGUGCUCUCCUCUGACCAGGCCAAGCAUAGGGCAAACUCCUUGGCAUGUUGGGAACCCUGAGCCUUUGCACUAUUCCCCCUUCAAGAUCAUCUACUCUAAUGAAGCAGAACGGCAACACGGAAAAUGCUAGAACAUGGAAGAGGAUCCAAAAUGAUGGAUGAGUCAGUCCAGAAUGCAUGCUUCCGGUUCCCUCUGCAGAUUUACCCUUGCUAAUUACACGCUUCCACAGCUAUUACAAUAUUCUCGCCUCUCCUGUCGAAAAGAUGACCAGGUCAAAAGAGAACCAGUUAAGGGAUGCUAUUUGGUCUGAAAGAAUGCCUCCGUGAAGAAAGAAGCAGAGUAUAGCUAUCUUUUUACAUUGCUGAGUGUUUCUUUCAGGGCCGGCUCAAGCUGGAGAGGAUUAUUCCUCCUUGGGUUCUGAGCAAGGGUUGGGAAGUCAACUGUGAUGGAAUUUCUCUGGCCCACAAAUGACCGAUGGCUUCUGAGGAUGGACAAAGUGACUUAUGACCAGGACAAUGAAACAGUCUGCACGGGUCUCCCCAGAGUGUACAAAUUAUCUACAAUAGCCGAAAAAAUAGGCACAACCUAAAUAUUCACCCAUAGGAUGUUAGUUGAAUGAACAAAUGUAUGAUGGAAGACUAGGCAGUCAUUAGAAUUAUGGGCUAGAGAAAAGGCUUAAUCUCGCGGGAAAAUGCUCACAACAUAUUAUUAAAGGGAAAAGUAGAUUACAAGGCCAUAUGCUUAGAAUAUAGCAGUUUUGCAAGGAAAAAGUAUUGUGUGCACUGUUUUAACUGGAGGAAUAUGUAUAAAAACGUCAACAGUGCCGUCUCUGGGUAGUAAGAUUUGGCUUGACUUUUAUUUUCUUUCUUGGAUUUGUCUCUGUUUUUCAAACUUUCUCCCAUGAACAUAUAUAUUAUUCCAAAAUCAGGAAAAGAUGAUAGUUUAAAAAUGAUUAGCUGAGGGAUCAACAGAUGUGUUUCCUGUUUCUCUUCCCACGUCUCUUCUCCAUCUUAUUUCAGAGAUUCCCAUUCCUCCGCCCUCCCACAUCAGACACUGAUGGAGCCAGAAGCCCAGAGCAGCUGGUGUCCUAAACAACAGCACCAAAGUGAAUUCAUCCCUGAUAGUAACAGCUUGGGAAGAUUUCCAUUUCACUGAGAAUGAAUUGUACCCAAAUCAUUUUUUUUUUUUCCCUAAUCAGGAAUGAACCUCUCCAAGGGACUUUCAUAUGUGUAUAGGGGCUCACAGAGGACAAUUAUAAAUCUUGACAGCUGCUCCGUGGGUUUUCAAACACGAGGGGGAUGCCUCCCUUCUCCUGGGCCUGUUUACAGCAUCCCGUCCCUUGGAGUUUUGAGAACCUUCUGCUGCGGUGAGAUGGGGAGGUUCUGGGAGAGUCACGGCUGUUCUUCCCUCACAGGUGGAUGAUGAAGGGAAUUGGAGAGAACAAAAACUAAGGGACUAGGACAGUCCAGCUUGGGGUGUCUAGUUCCUAGUGUCCCGUGUAGAGAAGGGGGUGCUCGGGGGUGGACAGAGGGAGUAAGAAAUGAGUUCACAGCAGGGAACAGUGGGGCCACGGGAAAGUCGGCUGCCAAACAGAGACGGGGCUAAGGGCACUUCAUUUGUGUCACAGAUUUUACAGAAUCCAUCUCGCUUUUAGCUGCUCCCACACCACCUCCAUCCUCAGCAGCAUGUUCUAGAUCCUCUCCUCCUCACCAUAGGAGCCAGCACUACAAGUGCUGCCGCUGUCCUGAAGUCACCAUCUGUUGGUGGUGGGUGUUACAGUAGGGAGAGCAUUGCUGUGCUCCCUGGCCACUAUUCCCACCACCCCAAGGUGGGGGGGUGCCACGUUCCCCCCACUGGGGCAGAGUCAGAUGGUGGCUUUUCUCAGUCAGCCUGUGCUCGGAAAAGUCAUCCCCCUAUUGUAUUGGAAAAUUCCUCUUGUGCCUGUCAUUGCACACAUCAGGAGACCAAGGUUUCCAUUUUCUCAGAAGUAGUUCACCAGCUACUGUCAUUGAGACCAAGCCUGUCCCUGGAAUUUUUUAUUCAUUUUUGGAAAGCUAUAAUCCAGCCCCAAGAGAUGAGGUCUAAUGUGGGAGCCUGAGUUCUCCUAAAGCAGAGAAAUGAGCUGAGGUUGGGCCGGGCUGUGUCCAUACCCAUGCAGCCCGGCCACUGAAAUAAUUUCAUGUCAUCCCACUCUUUGACUGCCUGGGGACAUCUGAAGAUUUCCGAAGAGAGAGUACAGAAAGAUGGAGUUCCCGUUGUGGCUCAGCAGAACCAAACCUGACUAGUAUCCCUGAGGAUGCAGCGUCCAUCCCUGGCCUCACUCAGUGGGUUAAGGAUCUGGCGUUGCCAUGAGUGUGGUGGAGGUCACAGAUGCGGCUCAGAUCUGGCCUUGCUGUGGCUGUGGCAUAGGCCAGCGGCUGCAGCUCCAA
rnacentral:lncRNA from 1 species